GAUCCUGGCUCAGAAUCAACGCUGGCGGCGCGCUUAACACAUGCAAGUCGAACGAGAAAGGGGAGCAAUCCCUGAGUAAAGUGGCGUACGGGUGAGUAACACGUGGGUAAUCUACCUCCAGGUGGGGAAUAACCCUGGGAAACCGGGGCUAAUACCGCAUACGACCGAAAGGUGAAAGGGGAAAUUCGCCGGGAGAGGAGCCCGCGGCCGAUUAGCUAGUUGGUGAGGUAAAAGCUCACCAAGGCGAUGAUCGGUAGCCGGCCUGAGAGGGCACACGGCCACACUGGCACUGAAACACGGGCCAGACUCCUACGGGAGGCAGCAGUGGGGAAUCUUGCACAAUGGGGGCAACCCUGAUGCAGCGACGCCGCGUGAGCGAUUAAGCCCUUCGGGGUGUAAAGCUCUUUCGACCGGAACGAUAAUGACGGUACCGGGAGAAGAAGCUGCGGCUAACUACGUGCCAGCAGCCGCGGUAAUACGUAGGCAGCGAGCGUUGUUCGGAGUUACUGGGCGUAAAGCGUGCGUAGGCGGUUUUCUAAGUUUGGUGUGAAAUCUCCCGGCUCAACUGGGAGGGUGCGCCGAAGACUGGGAGGCUGGAGUGUGGGAGAGGUAGGCGGAAUUCCUGGUGUAGCGGUGAAAUGCGUAGAUAUCAGGAGGAACACCUGUGGUGUAGACGGCUUACUGGACCAC
rnacentral:rRNA from 1 species